rnacentral:snRNA from 1 species
UUGCUAGCUUCAGCAGCACAUAUACUAAAACUGGAAGGAUAUGGAGAAGAUUAGCAUGGCCCUGCACGAGGAUGACACGCAAAUUUGUGAAGCGUUCCAUAUUUUU